GUUUUCAGGAACCUUCCAAAGAUUAUAGAGGCUUUGAGCUUUGAUGGUUCGAGUGUGCAGCAGAUAGAAUCUUCAAAGCAUGAGCAGCUGUCAGGUAAAUCCUGGGUUUCUCCGACGGAGCGAUAUGCAAUAGUUCCCCAUGAAAGUGGAUAAACGGUUCAUUCGGAAAGGGGUAAUGGCGGUGAUGUGAGCGUCCCCGAGACCGCCGUAACGCGAAUACGAAUGUGAUUCCUCGCCUCCAGUCUGAAAAUGAAAGUGAA